rnacentral:rRNA from 1 species
GACGAACGCUGGCGGCGUGCUUAACACAUGCAAGUCGAACGGAAAGGCCCUGCUUUUGUGGGGUGCUCGAGUGGCGAACGGGUGAGUAACACGUGAGUAACCUGCCCUUGACUUUGGGAUAACUUCAGGAAACUGGGGCUAAUACCGGAUAGGAGCUCCUGCUGCAUGGUGGGGGUUGGAAAGUUUCGGCGGUUGGGGAUGGACUCGCGGCUUAUCAGCUUGUUGGUGGGGUAGUGGCUUACCAAGGCUUUGACGGGUAGCCGGCCUGAGGGGGUGACCGGCCACAUUGGGACUGAGAUACGGCCCAGACUCCUACGGGAGGCAGCAGUGGGGAAUAUUGCACAAUGAGCGGAAGCCUGAUGCAGCAACGCCGCGUGCGGGAUGACGGCCUUCGGGUUGUAAACCGCUUUCGCCUGUGACGAAGCGUGAGUGACGGUAAUGGGUAAAGAAGCACCGGCUAACUACGUG